rnacentral:misc_RNA from 1 species
UCUCCGUUGGUGAACCAGCGGAGGGAUCAUUACCGAGUUUACAACUCCCAAACCCCUGUGAACACACCAUUUGUUGCCUCGGCGGUGCCUGCUUCGGCAGCCCGCCAGAGGACCCAAACCCUUGAUUUUAUACAGUAUCUUCUGAGUAAAUGAUUAAGUAAAUCAAAACUUUCAACAACGGAUCUCUUGGUUCUG